rnacentral:lncRNA from 1 species
CUGGCAGGAGAUGAAAGGCUGCUGCCGCCCGGUCGGAAGGACAUCGGCGCCCCCCAGGCCCGGUCCCCGCCCCAGUUCCUCGGGCCUUUCCUGCUGCCCCUGCCUGCGAGGGCCGACGACACGGAGAACAGGAUCCUGCGCCCAACCCAGGAGCAGUUGGGUGAGGAGCACCAGAAAUUCAAUGCUCCCUGGCGCUGCAUCCCCAGAGCCCUCCCAGCCUAAGAAGCCCCAUCUUUCUGUCUCCACGCAUGGAGAACUGCAGCUGUGAGGCCCAGGACCCUUAGCAGGACAUGCAGAGCUGGGCAGGGACCCAGGCUCAUGCUCCCAGCGUGGGUGGGGAACACAGAGCCCUGCCCAGAGGCUUGAACCUGGCACCACAGGGGUCUGGAAUUACACAGAAGACGGGUGACAGCCAAGGUGGAUCAUGAACGGUGAGAAGUCCAGCAGGUGACAAGGGGAAGGGUCUAAAGGGUGGAGGGCACAGCGCAAGCAAAGUCUUGGCAACAAAAGAGCUAAUGCAUCCCAGAAAUGGGGCAGGUGGAGUACUGGAAGCUACACCAAGCUUCAGAGUGGUCCUGUGGCCUCGGUGUGGUAGCUCAGGCCUAUAAUUCCAACACUUUGGGAGGCUGAGGCAGGAGGAGGAUAACUUGAACCCAGGAGUUCAAGAUCAGCCUGGGCAA